rnacentral:misc_RNA from 1 species
GAAAUGCGAUACGUAGUGUGAAUUGCAGAAUUCAGUGAAUCAUCGAGACCUUGAACGCACCUUGCGCUUGUGGUCAACCACAAGCAUGCCUGUUUGAGUGUCGUCAAUAUUCUCACCAAAAAAGGAAGAGAAACCCUCUUUCUCCAUGGUGGCAGUGAGCGCCUGUCCGACUAUGGCAGCCGCUUGAAAGUCAACGAGGUGAACCGGUGUUGCCCCUUUGCAGGCCCGCCAUCCCAUGGUCCCUCCGGUGUUUCUAGCAUGCUCUGUCGUGAUUUUACACCAUCGGACCCUCUAGGGAAGGACUUGGGCCUGUGGCCAUUGGACCCUUUUCCAAACUUCAAAACUGCGACCUCAAAUCAGGUAAGACUACCCGCUGAAUUUAA